rnacentral:rRNA from 1 species
GAUGAACGCUGGCGGCGUGCCUAAUACAUGCAAGUCGAACGAAUCUCUUUUAGAGAUGAGUGGCGAACGGGUGAGUAAUACAUAGGUAACCUGCCCCUGUGCGGGGGAUAACAGGAGGAAACUCCUGCUAAUACCGCAUAGCCAUGAGCACCGCAUGGAGCUCAUGCCAAAUAUCCUUUAUGGGAUAGCGCAGGGAUGGACCUAUGGCGCAUUAGCUGGUUGGCGGGGCAACGGCCCACCAAGGCAACGAUGCGUAGCCGGCCUGAGAGGGCGGACGGCCACAUUGGGACUGAGACACGGCCCAGACUCCUACGGGAGGCAGCAGUAGGGAAUUUUCGGCAAUGGGGGAAACCCUGACCGAGCAACGCCGCGUGAGCGAAGAAGGCCUUCGGGUCGUAAAGCUCUGUUGUAAAGGAAGAACGGCGCAUACAGGAAAUGGUAUGCGAGUGACGGUACUUUACCAGAAAGCCACGGCUAACUACGUGCCAGCAGCCGCGGUAAUACGUAGGUGGCGAGCGUUAUCCGGAAUCAUUGGGCGUAAAGAGGGAGCAGGCGGCCGCAAGGGUCUGUGGUGAAAGACCGAAGCUAAACUUCGGUAAGCCAUGGAAACCGGGCGGCUAGAGUGCGGAAGAGGAUCGUGGAAUUCCAUGUGUAGCGGUGAAAUGCGUAGAUAUAUGGAGGAACACCAGUGGCGAAGGCGACGGUCUGGGCCGCAACUGACGCUCAUUCCCGAAAGCGUGGGGAGCAAAUAGGAUUAGAUACCCUAGUAGUCCACGCCGUAAACGAUGGUCACUAAGUGUCGGGGGUCAAACCCCGGUGCUGCAGUCAACGCAAUAAGUGACCCGCCUGAGUAGUACGUUCGCAAGAAUGAAACUCAAAGGAAUUGACGGAAGG